AUGGAUCACCAGUGAGUGGCGGACGGGUGAGCUAACACGUAGGUAACCUGCCCCGGAGCGGGGGAUAACAUUUGGAAACAGAUGCUAAUACCGCAUAACAACAAAAGCCACAUGGCGUUUUGUUUGAAAGAUGGCUUUAGCUAUCACUCUGGGAUGGACCUGCGGUGCAUUAGCUAGUUGGUAAGGUAACGGCUUACCAAGGCGAUGAUGCAUAGCCGAGUUGAGAGACUGAUCGGCCACAAUGGAACUGAGACACGGUCCAUACUCCUACGGGAGGCAGCAGUAGGGAAUCUUCCACAAUGGGCGCAAGCCUGAUGGAGCAACACCGCGUGAGUGAAGAAGGGUUUCGGCUCGUAAAGCUCUGUUGUUGGAGAAGAACGUGCGUGAGAGUAACUGUUCACGCAGUGACGGUAUCCAACCAGAAAGUCACGGCUAACUACGUGCCAGCAGCCGCGGUAAUACGUAGGUGGCAAGCGUUAUCCGGAUUUAUUGGGCGUAAAGCGAGCGCAGGCGGUUGCUUAGGUCUGAUGUGAAAGCCUUC
rnacentral:rRNA from 1 species